rnacentral:rRNA from 1 species
AGAGUUUGAUCCUGGCUCAGAUUGAACGCUGGCGGCAUGCCUUACACAUGCAAGUCGAACGGCAGCACGGGGGCAACCCUGGUGGCGAGUGGCGAACGGGUGAGUAACAUAUCGGAACAUACCCUAGAGUGGGGGAUAACGUAGCGAAAGUUACGCUAAUACCGCAUACGAUCUAAGGAUGAAAGUGGGGGAUCUUCGGACCUCAUGCUCAUGGAGUGGCCGAUAUCUGAUUAGCUAGUUGGUGAGGUAAAGGCUCACCAAGGCGACGAUCAGUAGCUGGUUUGAGAGAACGACCAGCCACACUGGAACUGAGACACGGUCCAGACUCCUACGGGAGGCAGCAGUGGGGAAUUUUGGACAAUGGGGGCAACCCUGAUCCAGCAAUGCCGCGUGAGUGAAGAAGGCCUUCGGGUUGUAAAGCUCUUUUGUCAGGGAAGAAACGGUGAGUUCUAAUACAGCUUGCUAAUGACGGUACCUGAAGAAUAAGCACCGGCUAACUACGUGCCAGCAGCCGCGGUAAUACGUAGGGUGCAAGCGUUAAUCGGAAUUACUGGGCGUAAAGCGUGCGCAGGCGGUUAUAUAAGUCAGAUGUGAAAUCCCUGGGCUCAACCUAGGAACUGCAUUUGAGACUGUAUGGCUAGAGUGUGUCAGAGGGGGGUAGAAUUCCACGUGUAGCAGUGAAAUGCGUAGAGAUGUGGAGGAAUACCGAUGGCGAAGCAGCCCCCUGGGAUAACACUGACGCUCAUGCACGAAAGCGUGGGGAGCAAACAGGAUUAGAUACCCUGGUAGUCCACGCCCUA